GUGGUGGACUCAUUGAGGGGAGGUAGCUUUGGGUGGAUUAGCAUACUUGUGCAAAAAGAGUAAACAAUCUUAAAGAAAGUUCAUAGGAAUUAAAAAUAAACUUAUAGGAACAGUGUUGAAGUUUGUUAAACUAAAAUAAAAAGCAUCUAAAAGAAAAAGUUGUUUGGGAGGGGUAGGUGCAUAGUGGAGUUGUGGAUGGGGUAUUGGAUGAACAGGCACUCUAGUGAAAAUGAGUAAACAGAUUUAACAAUGUUUAUUAAAAAAAUAAAAAAGAAAUAAAAAAAGGGUAUUGGAUGAACAGGCACUCUAGUGAAAAUGAGUAAACAGAUUUAACAAUGUUUAUUAAAAAAAUAAAAAAGAAAUAAAAAAAGAGAGUAAAGAAAUACCUAUCUGUUCCUAUGCACCGUUUCAUAGGAAAAAUGCCAAGGAUUCAACUAUUUUGUGUGUGUGUAUCAAAAUAAACCACAACAAAAGCAUUCAAGAAAUAUACACACACACACACACACAC
rnacentral:misc_RNA from 1 species